UACGGAGGGAGCUAGCGUUGUUCGGAAUUACUGGGCGUAAAGCGCACGUAGGCGGCUUUGUAAGUUAGAGGUGAAAGCCCGGGGCUCAACCCCGGAAUUGCCUUUAAGACUGCAUCGCUUGAAUCCGGGAGAGGUGAGUGGAAUUCCGAGUGUAGAGGUGAAAUUCGUAGGAUAUUCGGAAGAACACCAGUGGCGAAAGGCGGCUCACUGGACCGGUAUUGACGCUGAGGGUGA
rnacentral:rRNA from 1 species